rnacentral:sRNA from 1 species
GUGAGGGGGUGACUAGUGACAGAGUGAGGGGGUGACUAGUGACAGAGUUAGGGAGGGGUGACUAGUGACAGAGUGAGGGAUGGGGUGACUAGUGACAGUCACCACCUCCCUCACUCUGUCACUGUGUUACUCCCUCCCUCUGUCACAAGUCACCCCCUCCCUCAUUCUGUCACUAUUCACCCCCUCCCUUACUAGUCACCUCCCUCCCUCUGUCACUAGUUACCCCUCCCUCUGUCACUAGUCACUCACUCCCUCCCUUACUCUGUCAUUAAUCACCCCUCCCUCACUCUGUCACUAGUAACCCCCUCCUUCAC